rnacentral:lncRNA from 1 species
GCCAGACUUGACGGCUCUGAGGCCAAGUUGCAUCCUGUGGAUCUGAGAAUAAACUGAAGGAGACUGCCAGUUCAGUCACAUGAAGAAUGUGAAAGGAGAGAGAAGACAGUGGCACGCCACUGUGACACUGCCCUCCCAAUGGAAACAUGGAAGUGUUGACAAUCACAGAGUGGGAGUCUCAUGUCUGAAUUUUGAGACCCAGCUAGGAAAAGUGGAACCUGUCAGUUAACUUCCUGAGUACCAUCCACAAUCCAAGAGUAUGCUCAGAUGAAUUACUUUUUAAGGGUCUGCUGAGAAGGCAACAUCUCAACCUUCUAUCAUCAAUUAGCAAGUAGAGCUGAUUAAGAAUAUGGAGAAACCAGAUUUUUGAGUUCCAGAAGAAGACCUGUAUGAUGAGUUGGUUAUACAUGUUAUACCCCUUCCACAAGGACAAAGGCCACCCUGAAAUAAGGUGCAAAGAGACUGUUGGUGCCCAAAAUGUGAGGGUGAUCAU